AAAAAAACAAAGAUUCGGACGCGUUUGGCGCAUUCCUAAUAAACGUAGCAAGUUAUUUCUUCACAAGAGAUAUCCCAAAAACGCCGCCUGCAUUCAACGGGGCGAAGAACAGCGGAGAAAAAGUAUUCUUCAAAAAUGGGUGGACUGCCAAUAGAGAAUACAUCUACAGCCAUAUCUUUGUCGCAAGUACCAAAAGAUCAAAAGUCAGCUGUGCCUGAUUCAAAGCCAAAGAAGAAGAUAUGCUGUGCUUGCCCUGAUACUAAGAAGCUGAGAGAUGAAUGCAUUGUGGAGCAUGGCGAAUCCGCUUGUGAGAAAUGGAUUGAAGCUCAUCGCAAAUGCCUUCGAGCUGAAGGCUUCAAUGUCUGAAGCAUAGCAGCCGGCCUCUGAAUAGACAAGCGGAGAUACAAAAUUUUGUCUAAUGCUUAGUUUGUUUUGGCACUAUACAAGCUCAAUUAGCUAAAUAUUUACAGGUCGAAUUUGUUUACCAAAUACAGGAAUAAAGCAAGGAAGUUCUGCAAAUUGAUUUGUUGGACCAGGAAAUGCGAGAUAAUUCGUCUUGAUUAUUUGAAUUGUGGAGUACAUUUCAAGAAUGGAAAUUAGCCGUUGCAAGGGACUUAUUAUCUUUGCAUCAUUGCUUCAUCUAACUAUGAAUAAAUACUAACAAAUGUUUGGUAUGAAAAUGGUAUUAGUGGUUUGUUACAUA